AUGCCUACUGUACACACGUCAUAUAUUUUUUGUCCCUUCAGCAGCACGCUUCCGGUUCCACUAUUAUACCCAUACCCCUCUUGGAUUAAUUCCUUUCAGUUUCAGUGGAGAAAGAAAAGAAACCACCGCCCGGUUGCACCAGACACGCGCGGCGGCCAUGGGGAAGAAGAUGUGCCUGCUCUCGCUGGACGAGGACAUCGUCAUGGUGCUCAUCGUCGUCGCCGUCGUCGUGGUGGGGCUAAUACUCGCCGCCGUGCAGCCACCGCCCCGCCGCCGCGCCGUCACCUGCUUCUACGGCUGACCCCACCGUCAAAGAUCGACCUGUGUGCUCGGCAGUACAGUUCCUUAGCCUUUGCAGUUGCAGGUUUCUCUUAA
rnacentral:rRNA from 1 species